ensembl:lncRNA
CUUGGGUGUGCGCUCACUGAAAUUCUUCAGCUUCUCUUCAGGUCAUAACAAAAUACCAUACACAGAGAGGUUCAAACUUCAGGCAUUUAUUUCUAACAUCUCUGGAGGCUGGGACAUCCAAGAUCAAGGUGCUGGCAGAUUCAGUUCUUGAUUUAUAGGAAUAUGGUGAUGAGACCUAGAGUGGACAAGACCAAAGGAUAUCACAUUCCCUCUGGGGUCUGGUCAGCACCAAGAAGUUUGCAACAACCAGCCACAUCCCCUACCCUUUCAGUAUAAAAGAAGCCUGAAUUCUAACUCGGCAUGCAGGAUUUUCAUUCCCCAGUCAGGGGUUGAACCCGAAGCCCCCUGCAUUGGGAAUGCAGAGUCUUAACCACUGGACUGCCAGGGAAGUCCCAAAACCAUACAUCUUAAAGUCAAGGAUGAGGAAAAGCCAGGAUAACCUUACAUUGUUGGUGCAUCUCAAAUCUGUCAGAAUGUCUAUCAUCAAAAAAGAACAUAAAUAAAAAAUGUUGGCGAAGAUAUGGAGAAGAGAGAA